UGGGGAAUAUUGCGCAAUGGGCGAAAGCCUGACGCAGCGACGCCGCGUGAGGGAUGAAGGUCUUCGGAUCGUAAACCUCUGUCAGAAGGGAAGAAGUUACGUCGUGCUAAUCAGCGGCGUAUUGACGGUACCUUCAAAGGAAGCACCGGCUAACUCCGUGCCAGCAGCCGCGGUAAUACGGAGGGUGCGAGCGUUAAUCGGAAUCACUGGGCGUAAAGCGCGCGUAGGCGGCCUUGUAAGUCAGGGGUGAAAUCCCACGGCUCAACCGUGGAACUGCCUUUGAUACUGCUUGGCUAGAAUCCAGGAGAGGGUGGCGGAAUUCCAGGUGUAGGAGUGAAAUCCGUAGAUAUCUGGAGGAACAUCAGUGGCGAAGGCGGCCACCUGGACUGGUAUUGACGCUGAGGUGCGAAAGCGUGGGGAGCAAACA
rnacentral:rRNA from 1 species